AUACGUAGGGGGCGAGCGUUGUCCGGAAUGAUUGGGCGUAAAGGGCGCGUAGGCGGCCCGGUAAGUCUGGAGUGAAAGUCCUGUUUUUAAGAUGGGAAUUGCUUUGGAUACUGUCGGGCUUGAGUGCAGGAGAGGGAAGUGGAAUUCCCAGUGUAGCGGUGAAAUGCGUAGAGAUUGGGAGGAACACCAGUGGCGAAGGCGACUUUCUGGACUGUAACUGACGCUGAGGCGCGAAAGUGUGGGGAGCAAACAGGAUUAGAUACCCUGGUAGUCCACACUGUAAACGAUGAAUGCUAGGUGUAGGGGGUAUCGACCCCUUCUGUGCCGCGGUCAACACAAUAAGCAUUCCGCCUGGGGAGUACGGCCGCAAGGUUGAAACUCAAAUGAAUUGACGGGG
rnacentral:rRNA from 1 species